UAAUCGUGGAUCAGCAUGCCACGGUGAAUACGUUCCCGGGCCUUGUACACACCGCCCGUCACACCACGAAAGUCGAUUGUACCAGAAGUUACUGGGCUGACCCGCAAGGGGGGCAGGUACCUAAGGUACGGUUGGUAAUUGGGGUGAAGUCGUAACAAGGUAGCCGUUGGGGAACCAGCGGCUGGAUCACCUCCUUUCUAAGGAGA
rnacentral:rRNA from 1 species